rnacentral:rRNA from 1 species
UACGGAGGGGGCUAGCGUUGUUCGGAAUUACUGGGCGUAAAGCGUGCGCAGGCGGUUCGUUAAGUCCGAUGUGAAAGCCCCGGGCUUAACCUGGGAAUGGCAUUUGGGACUGCAAGGCUUGAGUGCGGCAGAGGAGACUGGAAUUCCUGGUGUAGCAGUGAAAUGCGUAGAUAUCAGGAGGAAUACCGAUGGCGAAGGCAGGUCUCUGGGCUGACACUGACGCUCAUGCACGAAAGCGUGGGGAGCAAACAGG